rnacentral:autocatalytically_spliced_intron from 1 species
AAAAGCAUAUUGAAAAAUCAACACUCGUUGACAUUGUCAAUAUUGCGUGCUCUAUGAAUUCAUCCGGAACACGAAAAUAUAGUAAGGAACACCUUCUUCGUUUGAUCGCGUGAAGAUAUAGUCUAAUUUUGAGAAUUUCAG